rnacentral:tRNA from 1 species
GAGGGUAUAGCUCAGUGGCAGAGUGCGUGCUUAGCAUGCAUGAAGUCCUGGGUUCAGUCCACAGUAUCUCCA